rnacentral:rRNA from 1 species
AUACGGAGGGUGCAAGCGUUACUCGGAAUCACUGGGCGUAAAGCGCGCGCAGGCGGCUUGAUAAGUUGGAUGUGAAAGCCUACGGCCCAACCGUAGAACUGCAUCCAAAACUGUCAGGCUAGAGUGUGGGAGAGGAAGAUGGAAGUAGUUGUGUAGGGGUAAAAUCCGUAGAGAUAACUAGGAAUACCAAAAGCGAAGGCAAUCUUCUGGAACACUACUGACGCUGAGGCGCGAAGGCGUGGGGAGCAAACAGGAUUAGAAACCCUAGUAGUCC